rnacentral:tRNA from 1 species
UUCCUGGUGGUCUAGCAGUUAAGGAUUUAGCAUUGUCACUGCUGUGGCUCUGGUUCAGUUCCUGGCCUGGAAA